CCUACGGGAGGCAGCAGUGGGGAAUAUUGGACAAUGGGCGAAAGCCUGAUCCAGCAAUGCCGCGUGAGUGAUGAAGGCCUUAGGGUUGUAAAGCUCUUUUACCAGGGAUGAUAAUGACAGUACCUGGAGAAUAAGCUCCGGCUAACUCCGUGCCAGCAGCCGCGGUAAUACGGAGGGAGCUAGCGUUGUUCGGAAUUACUGGGCGUAAAGCGUACGUAGGCGGCGAUUCAAGUCAGAGGUGAAAGCCUGGAGCUCAACUCCAGAACUGCCUUUGAAACUAGAUUGCUAGAAUCGUGGAGAGGUGAGCGGAAUUCCGAGUGUAGAGGUGAAAUUCGUAGAUAUUCGGAAGAACACCAGUGGCGAAGGCGGCUCACUGGACACGUAUUGACGCUGAGGUACGAAAGCGUGGGGAGCAAACAGGAUUAGAUACCCUGGUAGUCCACGCCGUAAACGAUGAUAACUAGCUGCCAGGGUUCUUAGAACUUUGGUGGCGCAGCUAACGCAUUAAGUUAUCCGCCUGGGGAGUACGGUCGCAAGAUUAAAACUCAAAAUGAAAUUGACGG
rnacentral:rRNA from 1 species